GCUGUGAAGCAGCAUAUUCUGGACAUGACAACACUUCUGACUCACCAUCUCACAGCAACUGCAGCUUCUUGCACAAAACAUGCACAAGACCAAGUUAGUCAACGUCGAAACAUGGGGAGAAUGCUCAUGAGGCCAACACUCCUGUCUGGUGAGCUUUGGACUGUUGAGCGCUUCUAGAGGAAGAAGAGACAGUUUCAUUUAAGGAUGUUGUCCAGACAUGCCAAAGACUAUCCUGGAAUCUUGGCAAGAUCAAGUUGUCCUGGAGGAGAUUCUACACACUUACAUACUGUAUCUGUUCAUUUCACUUGUUCAGCAUGCAUCCCAGAAGGUUUUUUAAUGUACCAGCUAGAGUUACAGGUUCUGGAGACAUCACAAUGAAGACAAUAAAUAAAGCUCUCACACCACUUUAUUGAGAA